GACGGAGGAUGCAAGUGUUAUCCGGAAUCACUGGGCGUAAAGCGUCUGUAGGUGGUUUAAUAAGUCAACUGUUAAAUCUUGAGGCUCAACCUCAAAAUCGCAGUCGAAACUAUUAGGCUAGAGUAUAGUAGGGGUAAAGGGAAUUUCCAGUGGAGCGGUGAAAUGCAUUGAGAUCGGAAAGAACACCAACGGCGAAAGCACUCUGCUGGGCCGACACUGACACUGAGAGACGAAAGCUAGGGGAGCAAAUGGG
rnacentral:rRNA from 1 species